AUACGGGGGGUGCAAGCGUUACUCGGAAUCACUGGGCGUAAAGAGCAUGUAGGCGGAUUAAUAAGUUUGAAGUGAAAUCCUAUAGCUUAACUAUAGAACUGCUUUGAAAACUGUUAGUCUAGAAUGUGGGAGAGGUAGAUGGAAUUUCUGGUGUAGGGGUAAAAUACCGUAGAGAUCAGAAGGAAUACCGAUUGCGAAGGCGAUCUACUGGAACAUUAUUGACGCUGAGAUGCGAAAGCGUGGGGAGGC
rnacentral:rRNA from 1 species